CAGUAGCCGCGGUAAUACGUAGGGUGCAAGCGUUAAUCGGAAUUACUGGGCGUAAAGCGUGCGCAGGCGGUUUUGUAAGUCUGUCGUGAAAUCCCCGGGCUCAACCUGGGAAUGGCGAUGGAGACUGCAAGGCUAGAAUCUGGCAGAGGGGGGUAGAACUCCACGUGUAGCAGUGAAAUGCGUAGAUAUGUGGAGGAACACCGAUGGCGAAGGCAGCCCCCUGGGCUAAGAUUGACGCUCAUGCACGAAAGCGUGGGGAGCAAACAGGAUUAGAUACCCCGGUAGUCCCUGUCUCUUAUAC
rnacentral:rRNA from 1 species